rnacentral:rRNA from 1 species
CUUCGCAUGAGGGGAUCUGGAAAGACGGCGCAAGCUGUCACCGAUGGAUGGGCCUGCGGCGCAUUAGCUGGUUGGUGGGGUAACGGCUCACCAAGGCGACGAUGCGUAGCCGACCUGAGAGGGUGAUCGGCCACACUGGGACUGAGACACGGCCCAGACUCCUACGGGAGGCAGAAGUAGGGAAUCUUCGGCAAUGGGCGAAAGCCUGACCGAGCAACGCCGCGUGAGUGAUGAAGGCUUUCGGGUCGUAAAACUCUGUUGCCAGAGAAGAACGGUAGGUAGAGUAACUGCUAUCUAUGUGACGGUAUCUGAGAAGAAAGCCCCGGCUAACUACGUGCCAGCAGCCGCGGUAAUACGUAGGGGGCAAGCGUUGUCCGGAAUUAUUGGGCGUAAAGCGCGCGCAGGCGGUUGUUUAAGUCUGGGGUUUAAGUUCGGGGCUCAACCCCGUAUCGCCCUGGAAACUGGGGAACUGGAGUGUAGGAGAGGAAAGUGGAAUUCCACGUGUAGCGGUGAAAUGCGUAGAGAUGUGGAGGAACACCAGUGGCGAAGGCGACUUUCUGGCCUAUAACUGACGCUGAGGCGCGAAAGCGUGGGGGAGCAAA